rnacentral:lncRNA from 1 species
GAAGCAGUGGAUCAUCCCCGAUUCAAGCGUCAGGAAGAGCACAGCUCCAGGACCCCCCCGCCCCCCCAGGUUGAGACUGUCACUUUCCUAGAUCCCGAGUCCAAGUUAACGACAGGCUUUUGCAAAAUGGUUCAGAAAGCAAUCAACAGGCGAUGACUCUGUAAAAGAACGGAGGUUUCCUGACGUGCAGGGAAAAACAACAACAAAACGGCAGGUCUCCCCCGGGAACGGCAGCGCUCCUCCUUCCCAGCCCGGUGCCCUUUCUCUACAGACAAGAGCCCCAUUCUAUUGUAAGGCUGCGGCUUCCCCGAGAAAGCCUGGCUGCGGCCAGAUCUCCAGGUUGCUCUGGAGAAGGAAACACAUCCCGGCGCACACCCCACGAGGGCACCGGGCGCGGGGAGCCGCGGGGAGCCGCGGGGGGCCCGGCCGGGCGCGGGGCCCGCUCGGGGCGGGGCGGGGCGCGGGGCGCGGGGCGCGGGGUGCGGGGCGCGGGCGCCUCCCGAGGUGCCGCAAUCCGGCCGCGGCCGCAAGGGCAGGGCCUCCGGGAGCCCGCGGCCGCCGCAGUGCCAGUGCCAGUGCCAGUGCCAGUGCCAGUGCCAGUGCCGGCCCCGCGCCCCGCCGCCGCCCCGCCGCCAGGCCGCACGCCGCCGCCGCCCCAGCCCGCGUCCUCCGGGCCCAAGGCGCUGCGGCCGGCACGGGCAGCGGGGCGCGGGGCGCGGGGCGCGGGGAGCGCGGAGCGGCGAGCGCGCAACUUACUUUCCGCCCGCGGCGGGCGCCCGGGCCCGCACCCCCAGCCCGCAACGCCGCAGGCUACCCGGCGGCGGAGGCCGGCCCGCACCCGGCCCGCGGCCGCCGCGCCCCGCCGCGCCCCGCGCUCGCCCCUACCUCCGCCAGCAGGCGGGCGUCCGUCCGCAGCAGCCGCGGCGCCGACGACUCCCUCCCGGCCGCCGAACCCCCGCACCCAGCGCUAAUCAUAAUACCGAACGGGCGGCCGGCCGCGGGCGGGGGGGGCGAGGUGCGCCUGCGCGGGGCUCGCGUCACUGUGACGCAGAGCGGGGCGGGCCCGCGGGGGGGGCGGGGCCGGGAGCACCUGCGGGCGCGGGCGCGGGCGCGGGCGCGGGCGCGGGCGCGGGCGCGGGCGCGGGCGCGGGCGCGGGCGCGGGCGCGGGCGCGAGCGCGGGCUGCGGAGGGCGUCGUGGCGGCGUCGGGGCAGGCGGGCUCCGCGGCGGUGGGCUGGCGGCGGGAAGCGGCCGAGGCGCCCGAGGAGAGGGCCCGCGGAAGGAGGAAGCGCAAGGGACACGGGGCAGUGGCCGGGAAGAGUGGCGCGAGCUACCGGACCAUCUCCACAGCAUCAAUUUUGCAUGUCUGAAGAUGAUUGAAAAGUCUUUUUAUGGACCUGUAAGAAGCUUUAAUUAGAUAUACAGCACUCUACAAAACGACAAGAUGGAGCAUGCAGGUUUGUAUUACAGUUUCUGUGAUUCAAAUCUCAAAUAUAACAUAAUGCCACCAAUUUAAGGAAGAAGUUGUUUAUCAGAAGGCAACCAGGGCAAUGCUACAAAUUAGAUCAAGAUGUGAAAAGCAAGCAGAUUCUUGAAAGAAUUGCAAUUUUCAUCUUGGGACCCCCCAUCACCACACACACACACACACACAUACACACAAGCAUCAUAUUAUCUUCUCUAGAUAUUGUUCAUUUUCAUAAUUUGAAAAAAUUAAACUAUAUUUAAAACAAUAGGUAUUGAGUAACCAUGUACAGUUAAUUUUGAGUUAUAACAUGUAUUUAAGUAAGAUUUUGCUUUACAUAUUUAAUUAGUCAUUUUGUACAUUGAUAGUUGUGCAUUUCUAAAUCCUGGCUUCAUCCCAGUAGGACCAAAAAAUAAUGAUACUUCAUUGGAAAGGCCUACAGAGUUCCUCAAAGACUUUCUCAUACUACCCCAUUGGCAUCAGUUAGCAUGUUUCUCUUAUCUCAGAUAUCAGUGAAGGCCACCGUAUGUGUGUGUGUGUGUGUGUGUGUGUGUAAUGUAUUUUUGAUAGUUGCAAACAAAGAUUGAAAAUGCCAGCCCUUGACUCUGUUCAUUUGCAACAUGUGAGCUAAGAGACAUGACAGUCAUUGCCUGGCAUCAAAUCCUGCCCCAUCACUUAAUUCUCUAUGGCUUUGGGCAGGUUCCUUAACCUUCUGUUUGUUUUCUUCUCUGUAACAUGAGGAUGGUAGUGAUAAUGAUAUCUUUCUUAUAAAGAUGGUAUAAAGAAAUGGUUCUCAAAGUGUGCUCUCUUGACCAACAAUAUCAGCUUCUUCUGGGAACUGAAUCAAAAUUCAAAUUCUCAGUCUCCAUUCCAGAUGUACUAAAUUGAAAACUGUAGUUUCUGUUUCAAGAACACUUUUGGGUGAUUCUGAUGCAAGUUAGAGUUUGAGAACCACUGUUGAUGGGAUUAAAUGAGUUUAUUUUAAGUAUUAAAACAGUGCCUGGUACACAGUAAGUGGUAUAUUAAUGGAUAUGUUUAAAUGAAUACAAUAUGAUGUUGCCAAGAUUUGCAAAGUUUAAUUCAGGCCAAAAGAAGCAUGUGCAUGUUCUCCAACAAGUAAAUCCCAUCUUAAUCCCAUGUCCAAAACUUUAACAUGGCCUGCCAAACCAUUCCUGAUACGGCCCCAUCGCCCCUUCUUGCUCUUUCCAUUCUCCGUGUGUGCCACAUCUCCAACCUCCCCAGUUCUCAAAGGGAACUGCUUUUUCACACCUUUAAGACUUUGCCGAUUCUAUUCCCUCUGCCUGGAAAUGUCUCCCACCCCUUUUCUCCACUUCCCACACUUGCAAUCUCCUGAAUUCCUGCUUGUGCUUCAAAACCUAACUGCAGUGUCCAACCUCGUCUGUGGUACCCCAACCCAAACCCAGUCAGAGUCAAGGAUUCUCUGGACCCAUACCUCUCUGCACAUCCCACUUAGAGCAUUUAUCAUUAGGUGUUAUAAUUGUUUACUUCCCAUUCUCUGCCUUUGGAUCUUUAACUCCUGGAAAAUAAGGAUUUUAUUUCAUUUAAAAUUCUAUUCAUGCCACUGGGCUCUGACGUUUUAAGAGAGCAGCCCAAGGGUUUACACCACAGACUUGGGGUAUUUUUCCCCCCACAAAGGUCUUUUAAGAAUUUUAAUUAGUUGUGAACAUUUUAAAAUUGGGAGAUUUAAUUUUUAUGUUUAACCUUUUAAUGAGGUCUAAUAUGUAUAUUGUAAGGUUCACCCAGAAUACAUGAUAAUUCAGUGAUUUUUAGUAAGCUUAUAAAGUCGUGCAAUCAUCCCCUUAAUCCACUUUUAGAGUAUUUCCAUCUCUCCCUAAAAGUCUUCUCAUGUGCAUAUACAAUCACUCUCCAAUUUCAAGUCCUCCAUGACCAAUAAUUUGUUUUCCAUCUCUGUAGGUUUGCCUUUCUAGAAAUGUUAUAUAAAUAGAAUCAUACAAUAUGUAGUCUUUGGUGUCUGGCUUCUUUCAUUUAGCAUAAGAUUUAUCCAUGCUGUAGUUCAUGUAGUUGUAUCUGUUCAUUCCUUUGUAUUGCUGAAUAGUAUUCCAUUAUAUACAUAAACUACAUUUUAUUUAUUUCCAGAUGUUUGCUAUUGUGGAUAAUGCUGCUAUGAAUAAUUAUAUAAACUCUAAAUGGCAAUGUUUUCAUUUUGGGGGGUAUAUUGCUGGGUAGAAUUAUUGGGUCAUGUCAUGACUCUUUAACAUUUUAAGGAACUGAAAAAUUACUUUCUAAAGCGACUUACUAUUUUAUAUUCCCAUCAUCAAUAUAUGAGGGCUCUAGUUUCACCAUACCCUUAGCAACACUUGGCAUUAUUUGACUUUUAGGUUAUCAAUAUUCUAAUAAAAGUAUAGAGGUAUUUCACUGUGAUUUUAAUUUGCAUUUCUCUGAUCAACAGUGUUGAUCAUCUUUUCAUGUGCUAAAUUUUUAGUUUUCAUAUAUCUUCUUUGGUGAAAGAUCUAUUCAAAUCUUUUGCCCAUUUUUAAUUGGGUUAUUUGUCUUAAUGAGUUUUAAGACUUUUUUAUAUAUUUCAGAUACAAGUCCUUAAUUAGAUAUAUGACUUGCAAAUAUUUUCUCCCAGGCUGUGGUUUGUCUUCUCAUAUUUUUAAUGAUAUCUUUAGAUGUGCCAAAGUUUUAGAUUUUGAUGAAUCCCAAUUUAUCAAAUUUUUCUUUUAUAAAUCAUAUUUUGGAUGUCAUAUCUAAGAAAUUUUUGCCUAAGCCAAAGUCAAAAGAUUUUUUUGAGUUUUUUUUCAAGUUUAUAGUUUUCAAUUUAACAUUUUAGUCUAUAAUACAAUUUGAGUUAAUUGUUAUAUGUGAUAUAAAGUGUCUACAUGUUUUAUCAAUUAAUUCAUUUUUUGCAUAUGGAUAGUCAAUUACCCCUGAACCAUUUGUCAAAGAGUAUCAUUUCCCAAUUGAAUUGCCUUGUCACCGUCACUGAAAAUCUAUUUACCAUAAAUGUAAGGGUUUUCUGGACUUCCUAUUCAUUUCUAUUGAUUCUACAUAUCUAUCCUUAAACCACUGUGACAUAAUCUUGACUACUGUUGUUUUAUAGUAAGUUUUGAAAAUGGGCAGAAUAAGUCCUCCAACUAUGUUGUUAUUUUUCAAAAUUGUUUUGCUAUUCUAGGUAUGUUGCAAUGCCAUGUAAACUCUAGGAUCAGCUUGUCAAUUUCUACCAAAACAGUGUUUUUGAAGAAUGGUAUUUUUUUUUUUUUUGGAGUUGCAUGUAUAGGCCAAUUUGGGGAGAAUUGCCACCUUAACAAUAAAGAGUCUUCACAGUUCAUGAACAUGAUAUAGCUCCCCAUUUAUUUAGAUCUUUUAAAAUUUCUGUCAGCAAUGUUUUGUAGUUUUUAGUUGUACACAUCUUUUGUUACCCUUAUUUCUAAGUACUUUUCUUUUUAGUGCUAUUGUGAAUUGCAUUAUUUUCUUUAUUUCUAGGUUGUUCAUUAUCAGAAUAUAAAAAUACUGAUUUUUAUAUCCUUUGACAUUCUCAUUUUUUAGUUCUUCUUGGUGUUUUCAGAUUAAAUAGUAUUUAAUCAUAUUAUCUGCAAAAUCAUAUUUUCUGCAAAUGAAGACAUUUUGUUUCUUCUUUUUCCAGUCUGAAUGCCUUUAAUUUCUUUUUCUUGUCUUCUUGACAGCCUAUAACUUAUAGUAUGAUAUAGAAUAGAAGUGGUUAGUUCUUUGGGGUGUCUGCCUAGCUCCAUCACUGGAGCAUGCAACUUUGAUCUCAGGUUUGUAAGUUUCAAUCCCAUAUUGUAUAGAAAUUACAUAAAAAUAUUUUUUUUUAAAGUGGUAAGGAUCCCUGGGUGGCUCAGCAGUUUAGCUCCUGCCUUUAGCCAGGGCAUGAACCUGGAGUCCUGGGAUUGAGUCCCACAUCAGGCUCCCUGCAUGGAGCCUUAUUCUCCCUCUGCCUGUGUCUCUGCCUCUCUCUCUCUCUCUCUCUCUCUCUCUCCAUCUCUCAUGAAUAAAUAAAAUCCAACACUCUUUAAAAAAAUAAAAAAGUGGUAAAAGUAGAUAUUCUUCCUUUGUUCUCAAAAAACGCAUUUAGUCUUCCACUAUUAAGUAAGAUAUUUGCUAUAGGUUUUUCUUAGGUGCUUUUUAUAUAUUAGAAUAAAUUCCCUGUUAUUCAGAGUUUGUUGAGAGUUUCAUCAUGAAUGAGUGUUGGAUUUUGUCAAAUGCUUUUUCUGCAUGUAUUGACAUGAUCAUGUAGGUUUUGUCUAUUACAUUAAUAUGACACAUUGUAUUAAUUAAUUCUCUUUUUUUUAAAGAUUAUUUACUUAUUCAUAGAGACACAGAGAGAGAAUGAGAGGCAGAGACACAGGCAGAGGGAGAAGCAGGCUCCAUGCAGAGAGCCCGACGCGGGACUUGAUCCAAGGUUUCCAGGAUCAUGCCCUGAGCUGCAGGCGGUGCUAAACUGCUGUGCCACUGGGGCUGCCCGCAUUAAUUAAUUUUCAUAUGCCAAAUCAACCUUGCAUCCCCAAAAUAAAUUCCACUUUGGUCAUUGUAACAUGCUGCUGGAUUUGAUUUCCUUAUUUAUAUUCAUGUGGCUCCAAUAAAAAAUUUUAAAAAAUAUUCAUGUGGCAUAGUAUGAG